GAUGAACGCUGGCGACAUGCCUAACACAUGCAAGUCGAUCGGUAAGGCUCUUCGGAGUACACGAGAGGCGGACGGCUGAGUAACGCGUAGGAACACACCCUGCAGUGAGGGAUAAGACACCGAAAGGUGUUCUAAUACCGCAUACGGUCUUCGGAUUAAAGCAUUUAUGCGCUGAAGGAGUGGCCUGCGUCAUAUUAGAUAGUUGGUGAGGUAAUGGCUCACCAAGUCGAUGAUGUGUAGCUGGUCUGAGAGGAUGAUCAGCCAGACUGGAACUGAGACACGGUCCAGACUCCUACGGGAGGCAGCAGUGAGGAAUAUUUCACAAUGAGCGAAAGCUUGAUGGAGCAAUGCCGCGUGCAGGAUGAAGGCCCUCGGGUUGUAAACUGCUUUUAUAAGAGAAGAUUAUGACAGUAACUUAUGAAUAAGGGACGGCUAACUACGUG
rnacentral:rRNA from 1 species